CUUUGCUCUAAAAGAUGCUUGAUAAUCUCAUGGUCAGUCUCUAUGAAAAGUUGACCUUACUCUAAUUAAUGUCUCCAUUUAGAGAUAGCAAGGGUAAUGGCCAAAAGCUCCUUUUCAUACACAGAUAGGGUCUGUGAUCUAGGUCCAAAAGCUUUAGAAAUAAAAGCAAUAGGAUGAUUCUCCUGUUGCAAUACUGCACCCAUUCCCCAGUUGCUAGCAUCAGUCUCAAUAACAAAAUUUUUUGCGAAAUCCGGCAAAGCAAGAACAGGAGCUUCAGUUAUAGCCUGCCUGAGCCUGUUAAAGGCUUCUUGAGCUGCUGGACCCCAUUGGAAAGCAUCCUUCUUCAAUAAAUCUGUCAAGGGUUUACUGAUGAUACCAUAGUUCCUUAUAAACUUUCGAUAGUAGCCAAUGAGCCCCAAAAAACUCCUCAAUUCCUUAACAGAAAUAGGGGUUGGCCAAGUAAUCAUGGCCUGCACUUUCUUUGGAUCUGUUGCUACCCCUUCCCCUGAAAUUAUAUGACCCAAAUACUCCACUUCAGUCUUCCCAAAAGAACAUUUAGACAUUUUUGCAUAUAAUUGCUGCUCUUAAAGAACCUUAAACACCACUUCUAGGUGCUACAAAUGUGUAUCCAUAUUAGGGCUGUAGACUAAAAUAUCAUAAAAAAAAAUCAGAACAAACUUUCUCAAAUAAGGCUGAAAUAUGUGGUUCAUCAAUGCCUGGAAGAUUGUUGGGGCAUUGGCAAGCUCAAAAGGCAUCACAGUAAACUCAUAAUGGCCUUGGUGAGUUCUGAAUGCAGUUUUGGGUAUGUCUGGAAUAUGCAUUCUUAUU
rnacentral:misc_RNA from 1 species